CAGCUAGUUGGUGAGGUAACGGCUCACCAAGGCGACGAUCGGUAGCUGGUCUGAGAGGACGACCAGCCACACUGGGACUGAGACACGGCCCAGACUCCUACGGGAGGCAGCAGUGGGGAAUUUUGGACAAUGGGGGCAACCCUGAUCCAGCCAUGCCGCGUGUGUGAUGAAGGCCUUCGGGUUGUAAAGCACUUUCGGACGGAACGAAAUCGCGCGGGCGAAUAUCCCGCGUGGAUGACGGUACCGUAAGAAGAAGCACCGGCUAACUACGUGCCAGCAGCCGCGGUAAUACGUAGGGUGCGAGCGUUAAUCGGAAUUACUGGGCGUAAAGGGUGCGCAGGCGGCUUCGCAAGUCAGGCGUGAAAUCCCCGAGCUUAACUUGGG
rnacentral:rRNA from 1 species